GACGAACGCUGGCGGCGUGCCUAAUACAUGCAAGUAGGACGCAGUUGCGAACGGGUGAGUAACGCGUAGGUAACUACCUAUUAGAGGGGGAUAACUAUUGGAAACGAUAGCUAAUACCGCCUAUUAUUAGGUGGACCUGAGUUGUAUUAGGUUGUAGGUAGGGUAAUGGCCUACCAAGGCAACGAUACAUAGCCGACCUGAGAGGGUGAUCGGCCACACUGGGACUGAGAAACGGCCCAGACUCCUACGGGAGGCAGCAGUAGGGAAUCUUCGGCAAUGGGGGAAACCCUGACCGAGCAACGCCGCGUGAGUGAAGAAGGUUUUCGGAUCGUAAAGCUCUGUUGUUAAGGACGCGGUACUUAAACAGAAAGGGACGGCUAACUACGUGCCAACAGCCGCGGUAAUAC
rnacentral:rRNA from 1 species